AUGGCUUCUUUUUCCAUAUCCUUUCUAGUGUUGUUCCUUGCAUCUCUCAUUCUCUUCCCUCAAGGCUUUGCUAGUCGUGUUAACCCUACUGAAUAUACACGACCUACCCCUGUUUUACCCCCACGAAUUUACAGGCCACCACAAACCCCCACCCCAGUUUUACCUCCAAGAAUAUUCAGGCCACCGCAUAUCCCUCCUGGUUACACACCACCAAGUGAGAAGCCUUGA
rnacentral:lncRNA from 1 species